AUUGAACGCUAGCGGGAUGCCUUACACAUGCAAGUCGAACGGAGUGGCGAACGGGGGAGUAAUGUAUCGGAACGGGCCCAGUAGCGGGGGAUAACUACGCGAAAGCGUAGCUAAUACCGCAUACUCUUGGCACGGCAGGUAUGGGAUUAGAUAGUUGGUGGGGUAACGGCUCACCAAGGCGACGAUCCGUAGCUGGUGUGAGAGGACGACCAGCCACACUGGGACUGAGACACGGCCCAGACGCCUACGGGAGGCAGCAGUGGGGAAUUUUGGACAAUGGGGGAAACCCUGAUCCAGCCAUCCCGCGUGUGCGAUGAAGGCCUUCGGGUUGUAAAGCACUUUUGGCAGGAAAGCGGUACCUGCAGAAUAAGCACCGGCUAACUACGUGCCAGCAGCCGCGGUAAUUC
rnacentral:rRNA from 1 species